rnacentral:misc_RNA from 1 species
UGGCUUGUCAUGUGCUAUAGUCACCUUUCAGUUCCAGGAGUUCAGCAUUUGUUGGCUUGUAGUUAGGGGUGUUCUUAUGCCUACAUUAUGAUCACACUAUUUAUAGUCCCUGCAGUAUCUGCAGUAUCUCCUUGACUCUGACUCGACAAACAAUUUCCCAGGCUCUUUGAGUGAUCAGAUUUCAGAUUCAGGGAGAUAUUUGACAUCUGGAACCCCACACAUCUGGUUUUAGUUAGCAUCGACUUAAUGUAGAGUGAAACUCUGUAAACAUUUCCUCAAACUUAUGCAAAACAACAUUUCUCUAGGUUCAAAGAAUUUUAUUCCUCAAUUUUUAUUAUUGUACAUUUGUUCAAAUUCCUUUAUUGAUUAGAGCAAAAGAAGGGCAAUUUUUUUUUUAAUUUCAUGUCUUUGGCUGUAAAAAAUCUUAUGGUAUUUGUGAUUUGCAUUUGAAAUAUAGCUUGUUUACUAGAGUGAUAUUGUUUGUAAUAUAGACAUUUACAUUAGCAACACUAUUAACUCACUGCUAGGUGCAUGAAAACACCAAGUGAUUGCCCUUUGCUAAUUGUAAUAAUCUUUUAUUUAAUUUAUAGAAUUUUUUAACUGAGAUUUUUCCUGGAAUAAAGAAAACAGAUAGUUUAUUGAUAAGUGGAUGUAAUUGUUAUAAUAAUACAGAUGAGUAGCUGUAGUGAAGUGAUCGGAAGAAAACAAAACCUUUCAUUUUUUGUAAGUUAGAGUAUUAUUUAAUAAAUUAUUAUCAAUAUU